GGAUGCACAGAGAAACCCUGUCUUGAAAAAAAAUUAGAAAGAAAAAAGAAAGGAAAAGGGAAACUGAAGCCCCAGCACUUUGUUUUUGGAGUGCGCAGUGGAAUUCAUCCUAGCUAGGACUCAAGUUGCCAAGGACCAGAGUUCAGUUCCCAGCACCCAUGCUAGGUGGCUCACAAGCAUCUGUAACUCCAGUUCCAGGGGUUCUGAUACCAGCUUCUGGUCUCUGCUGACACCAGCAUAACACAACACCUACGAAUAUAUUGACCUUGAAAGUGCUGGGGAGUCCUGAUCUGAUGCUUCAUAGAAGAUGUUUUCAUGGGCAGUGUCUG
rnacentral:lncRNA from 1 species